GAUGAACGCUGGCGGCGUGCCUAAUACAUGCAAGUCGAGCGAACAGAUGAGGAGCUUGCUCCUCUGACGUUAGCGGCGGACGGGUGAGUAACACGUGGAUAACCUACCUAUAAGACUGGGAUAACUUCGGGAAACCGGAGCUAAUACCGGAUAAUAUAUUGAACCGCAUGGUUCAAUAGUGAAAGACGGUUUUGCUGUCACUUAUAGAUGGAUCCGCGCCGCAUUAGCUAGUUGGUAAGGUAACGGCUUACCAAGGCAACGAUGCGUAGCCGACCUGAGAGGGUGAUCGGCCACACUGGAACUGAGACACGGUCCAGACUCCUACGGGAGGCAGCAGUAGGGAAUCUUCCGCAAUGGGCGAAAGCCUGACGGAGCAACGCCGCGUGAGUGAUGAAGGUCUUCGGAUCGUAAAACUCUGUCAUUGGGGAAGAACAAAUGUGUAAGUAACUAUGCACGUCUUGACGGUACCUAAUCAGAAAGCCACGGCUAACUACGUG
rnacentral:rRNA from 1 species